rnacentral:rRNA from 1 species
CGGACCGGCGGAAUUCACCUAGUUGGAAUGGUAGCCGCCUGAGAGGGGCGACUGCACACUGGGACUGAGACACGGUCCAGACUCUACGGGAGGGCAGCAGUGGGGGAAUAUUGCACAAUGGGCGAAAGCCUGAUGCAGCGACGCCGCGUGAGGGAUGACGGCCUUCGGGUUGUAAACCUCUUUCAGCAGGGACGAAGCGGAAGUGACGGUACCUGCAGAAGAAGCGCCGGCCAACUACGUGCCAGCAGCCGCGGUAAGACGUGGGGCGCGAGCGUUGUCCGGAUUUAUUGGGCGUAAAGAGCUCGUAGGCGGCUUGUUGCGUCGACUGUGAAAACCUGCGGCUCAACCGUGUGGUCUGCAGUCGAUACGGGCAGGCUGGAGUUCGGUAGGGGAGACUGGAAUUCCUGGUGUAGCGGUGAAAUGCGCAGAUAUCAGGAGGAACACCGGUGGCGAAGGCGGGUCUCUGGGCCGAUACUGACGCUGAGGAGCGAAAGCGUGGGGAGCGAACAGGAUUAGAUACCCUGGUAGUCCACGCUGUAAACGUUGGGCGCUAGGUGUGGGGGGCCUCUCCGGUUCCCUGUGCCGCAGCUAACGCAUUAAGCGCCCCGCCUGGGGAGUACGGCCGCAAGGCUAAAACUCAAAGGAAUUGACGGGGGCCCGCACAAGCGGCGGAGCAUGCGGAUUAAUUCGAUGCAACGCGAAGAACCUUACCUGGGUUUGACAUCACUCGAAAACUCGCAGAGAUGCGGGGUCCUUCGGGGCGGGUGACAGGUGGUGCAUGGCUGUCGUCAGCUCGUGUCGUGAGAUGUUGGGUUAAGUCCCGCAACGAGCGCAACCCUCGUUCCAUGUUGCCAGCGGGUUAUGCCGGGGACUCAUGGGAGACUGCCGGGGUCAACUCGGAGGAAGGUGGGGAUGACGUCAAGUCAUCAUGCCCCUUAUGUCCAGGGCUUCACGCAUGCUACAAUGGCCGGUACAAAGGGCUGCGAUACCGUGAGGUGGAGCGAAUCCCAAAAAGCCGGUCUCAGUUCGGAUCGGUGUCUGCAACUCGACCCCGUGAAGUCGGAGUCGCUAGUAACCGCUUAUCAGAAUCGAAUUCCCGC